rnacentral:rRNA from 1 species
UUUAAAAUUUGACCUGCCCAAUGAAAAGUUUAAUGGCCGCAGUAAUUUGACUGUGCAAAGGUAGCAUAAUCAUUAGUUUUUUAAUUGAAAGCUUGUAUGAAUGGUUGGACGAGAAAAUAGCUGUCUCAAUUUUAGUUAAUUAGAAUUUUAUUUUUAAGUUAAAAAGCUUAAAUAUUAUUAAAAGACGAGAAGACCCUAUAGAGUUUAAUAUAAUUAUUAAUGUAAAUGAUUUGGAAGUAAUUAUAUUUUCAUAUAUAAUUAUAUUUUAUUGGGGUGAUAAUAAAAUUAAAUUAACUUUUAUUUAUGAUUAACAUUGAUUUAUGAGUAUAUGAUCCAUUUUUUAUGAUUAUAAGAAUAAAUUACCUUAGGGAUAACAGCGUUAUUUUUUUUGAGAGUUCUAAUUGAUAAAGAAGUUUGCGACCUCGAUGUUGGAUUAAAGUUAACUUUUGGUGCAGUAGCUGAAAAGUUAGGUCUGUUCGACCUUUAAAAUUUUACAUGAUCUGAGUUUAAACCGGUGUGAGCCAGGUUGGUUUCUAUCUUUAAUUAAAUUUUAUAUCUUAGUACGAAAGGACUUGAUAUAAAUAUUAUUUAUUGUUUAUUGAAUAUCAUUA